rnacentral:lncRNA from 1 species
CCAUUCAGGGUUCCCCACCCCUCUCCUCUGCUCCAGCCCUCUCCUCCCUCCUGUCACCUGGCCUCUGCUUUCAUUCCCUUCCUCAGCCCCUUCUAAUCUGCAGGCUCUCCUAAGCCAAGUUUGGUUUCUCAUUCCAAGUAGACCCUAACUCCCUAAGCAACAGUAAAGAUAUGCCCAUCUGCUCUCAGUUACCUGUGCUGAGAUGGGAGGCAGCAGUCAGGACUCACUCCAAAACCACCGGACUUGCUCUCUGGAAUGUGUUGGCAAUGGUUUUAUAAUCUCCAUUCACAGCUGCCUUUGUUAGGUCACUAUUAAAAUGAACUUCAUUCUGCGAGCACGGCCCUGGUAUGAGUCUAGUUUUCC